UAGGGAAUCUUCGGCAAUGGACGAAAGUCUGACCGAGCAACGCCGCGUGAGUGAAGAAGGUUUUCGGAUCGUAAAACUCUGUUGUUAGAGAAGAACAAGGACGUUAGUAACUGAACGUCCCCUGACGGUAUCUAACCAGAAAGCCACGGCUAACUACGUGCCAGCAGCCGCGGUAAUACGUAGGUGGCAAGCGUUGUCCGGAUUUAUUGGGCGUAAAGCGAGCGCAGGCGGUUUCUUAAGUCUGAUGUGAAAGCCCCCGGCUCAACCGGGGAGGGUCAUUGGAAACUGGGAGACUUGGGGGCAGAAGAGGAGAGUGGAAUUCCAUGUGUAGCGGUGAAAUGCGUAGAUAUAUGGAGGAACACCAGUGGCGAAGGCGGCUCUCUGGUCUGUAACUGACGCUGAGGCUCGAAAGCGUGGGGAGCAAACAGG
rnacentral:rRNA from 1 species